GCCUGAGGGGCGAGAGCCCCCAAGGCUGUGGGUAUGAGGCCGGGGCCCUGCACCGGAAGGGAGGGCGGAAGCCACGGGACGUGGAGCAGAUGGUGAGGAUAGUGGGGAGGUAGCAGCAGAGGAUGACCCGAGGCAAAAGUGCAAGUGAAGAAAAGUCGCCUUGCCGGGCAGAGGUACGGGACCAAGGCGCCUCCUCUGGGCUGAGGAGUUAGAGGGAAGAAAAUGGCGCCCUGUCAUGAGGGCGCGAGGUCCGAGUUGAGGGGAGAAGACUGAGGGACACAGAAGUGGCCGAAGUGAGGGCGCUGAGGUCAGCCUGAGCUGAGAGGGCCGGCAGAUCACGCCGCAGCCGAAGUGAACGAACUCGAGUGAGCUCUUCUCUUUUUCAGGAAAUUACUCCAGGAUUUGAAUCAUCACAAGAGAUUCACCAGAGGAUUUUAUACACUUGGGCUGUGGCAGCAGACUAAUUACAUCACAGCACUAGAGCUGAGAUACUGGCUGGGUGGAUUUCAGCAAAUUUCCAAGGGCACAUGACAUGUGGGCACAAAAGCCGGGAUUUCACACCAGGGGAUAAAGUAUAUCAGAAAUGAAGGCUGGGGUAAGUACAAGCAGUUAAGUGCAAUACUUUGUUCUGAGCUUUCUGACAACCAACCCAACCAUUGGAAAUAUAAAGGUUUACAUGGCUCUCAUUUUCUUUUCAAAAAAUACAAAAAGAAAAUUUUAAUGAUACACACUAGUUUCUCAAGAGGCUCAAAUUUUUUUCCUGAUUUUUAUUCUUAGAGCAAUUUCUUAUAUGGGUCUUUAUAUAACAUUUAAAGGGCAGAAUAAUAGACAAUAUCUCCCCGGAUACUUUUUAUCAGCAAGACAGGAAUGUUCCCCAAAUGACACUGCUUAAGAGAACUUUGAGGAGAACUGAGGGCAAGAUACAAGCCAUGGUUCUAUACAGAUAAGUCUACGGAAGCUGCAGAAAUAACAUUCCAGAUCCCCAGGAAUCCACCCACCCACCCCUCCGACUUUGGCCGAACACCAUGGCUGGCUGCCGUGUGAAGAAUGGACUGUAGGGGGUGCCAGAGUGGCUGUGGGAAACAUCCCCUAGAAAUCUAGAAUUCAAAGCACUUACUUUGAGUGAUAUAUCCACAAGAAAGAGCCUUCUGUGCUAAAAGCAAAA
rnacentral:lncRNA from 1 species